GUCACCUUCACUUUAUAUCAAAUUUGAGACUCAUUUCUUAAGGAUGUCUCUAUUUUCUGCUUUAUUUGCACAUUGAUAGCUCUACUGAAUGACUAGUCACAGCAACUUUUUCCUCUGAUAGCAUAUUAAAAUGUGAAAGCCUAAGACUAAUCUGCUUUGCAGGACUUUUCAGCCACUUGAUUGAAGGGAAAUAAGAAGUUUGUUUCAAGACUCUUAUGUCAUUCAUCAGCUCUGUUAACAAAAGUGGGGCUUGAGGAUACAUUUGCUGCUUCUUUGCAUUUUUGCUGAAGGUGCUGCAGCGUGGUGGGAGCUCCUGUAGCUGGAAUCUGGCCUCCAGUGUGGGUGUUAGAGAAAUCAUUGCUUGAGGAAAAAAAACAAAACACUUGGACCUUUCAAGGUGAAUAUGGAUCACCAUAACAGAGUUUACUG
rnacentral:lncRNA from 1 species